UUUUUUUUAAGAUUUUACUUAUGUAUUCAUGAGAGACAUGGAGAGAGGCAGAGACAUAGGCAGAGGGAGAAGCAGGUUCCCCACGGGGAGCCUGAUGACUCGAUACAAGGACCCCAGGAUCACGACCCGAACCGAAGGCAGACGCUCAAGCGCUAAGCCACCCAGGUGCCCGACAAAGAUAUUUCUUUAAAAGGCAAUAUAUUUUCAACUGGAAACAGUAGAUCUGGAGGGAACGAGAGACCUCCCCCCACACCCUGUAUUGAGGGACAGGGAAUGGAGAGGAACAGUCUCUGGUAGGGUCACAGCCAAGUAAUAAUCAGCAAUCUCCACUAGCUGCUGUGUCCACUGAUGCCUUAAAUGAAGCAGACACUCGUAACGUCCUUUUAAAAGGAACUUCUAAUCAAUUGACUAUAUUAGUAUUUAAAACACAUAGCUGGGAAAAAAAAAAAGUCCCUAAUACUUCAGAAUAAACAGAAGAAGGUAAAGCACAAUUAAAAAAAAAAAACACAAACAUACACACACAAACACAAACAUUUAAGGAAGAGGCUUUUUCUGAUAGGGGCUGUUUAAGCUUUGUUUACUUUCUCAGCAAGAAUAAAGGCUUUGGGCAACAUUUAAUUAAAAUGCUCCCUAAGCUUUCAUGCUUCCUGAGGCAGUAAGAUCGGGAACACUGAGAUAGUUUUCUUGCUGUGGACUGUGAAGGGAACAAGCAUGGAUACGAACUGCCCACACAAUGUGUAGAGGAAAGCCAUACCCCUGGAAAGGUCAAUUCAUAAGUUCCACACAUACAUGUAGAAUAGAUGAACUCUUGGAUAAGGAAUAAAAAAUAGGAAAGCCUUGAGCCACACACCUUCUGUUAUCUCAAUUAUGAAUGGCUAAUAUCUAAGAUGCAAUAAUCUGCAGGCAAAACCAUAGCCAUGAUGGUGAUGAUCCAAGGUGUUCCUCAAGAUGAUGCGAGGAGCAGUAUCUGUGAUAUCCACACAACAGGAGAGACAAGAAGCAGGAGCUCCAUUUAGGGAAAGAUGUGUUUCAAUUGUUAGAAUAGGUUUUAUUUCUUCUAAAAGAAGUCCUAUUCUUUAAAUUAUCAUCUAAAACUUCUUGUUAAAUUAGUCUGUUUAAGAAUAAAAUUAAAACAGAGAUAUUGCCCAAAUUGCUAACAAAUUGACACAUUUGUCCUUUAUAUUUUUUUCUGGGAAAAAACAUGCAUUAAAGGGAAAAUGACUUCAGUGCAGAAGAGUAGUAAUUAAUGAACAGCAAGACAUUUUUACAUAACCUUGCAAAUAGUUGACAUGCCUUCUUCCCCAAAUGCGUAAAGAAAGAUAAUUUUGUUGAUUUUGUUUUCUGUCAAAGGAAAUUCUACAACUCAGAAGAGCUAUUACAGCUAGUGCUUUUGUUUUUUUAAUACAGCUCAUACUUUCCUGAGAAUGGGUUUCCCAUUUUGAGCAAGUCAUACCUGAAUUUCGGUAAGUCACUUCAGCACUUAACAAUCUUAUAUGAAUGAUAUAUCUGUGAUCACCAGUGGUAUAAACAUUCAAUAGUGAAAGCAAGAUGGUCAUAAAUUAAACUUUACCAAAGUCCUACUUACUAUACUUCCUGAUUUAUGUUGUCCUACAUCCAUUUAACCUAAGAUACAGGCCAAUGGACUUCCUUUUAAUGACUAGAUUCAGGCACAGCAUAUAACUCUUGUGUUUUUUCCAAUUGUCAUCUUGCAUGAAAUCAUUCCCACAACUCACCAUGGAAACCUCCUUAAUACGAAGUACAACAGAAGGACGAACUCUUUGAAGCUGUCCUGAAGUACUGACCAGUCCACAGAUGGUCUUACAGAAUGAAGCUUUCCAAAUAGAAGUUGAUGUCAGAUUUGGUUACUUGCUUUCUCAGAAGUAAUGGAAAUAGACUUAAAACUUCUAUGUCUUCUGUGGUCAUAUAUUGUGCUUCCCCUUAAAAGUUUCAUUCCACUUUUUGGUAUUUAGGUGUAUUUGUGUCUAUUUCUGUGUCUAUCUUUACACAAACACACACACAGAGUAAUUUUAGGCCAGCUGGAUAGCCACAGGCUAGAUCACUGAAGCUGAUGUAUAAUUUGUACCAUUUGGACUAUAAUAAGCCAAAACUGGUAAUAAAAAUUAUUCUGUUUAAAAUCUGAGAUAAUUUGCCCUCUUAUUUUAUCUUUUGAGACACCACGUUCCUUUCUUCUCCAAUUUAUCUUACUCCUCAAGUCCCAUUUUUCAGCCUGGCCGAUAUCUGUUAUGUUCCAGGAAGCUCAGGCUCUUCUGACUGUUGAGAUGUUCUCCUGCCUGGAUCCUGGACCAUAACUUCCUAGCCACACAGGGCAAAGUUGUUUGGUAAUAAAAGGACAAGCUCAUGCCUAGAAGAUAUUUAUUCCAUUGUUUACUUGAGUUUGUACUUCAGCUUUUCCCAAAGGAAACAAAGAGAAAAAUCUGAGUUUAGAAAGAUCAAUAAUAAUACAGCUGAGAAGCCAUGAAGACAAGGGGCUGCCCAGAUACAGCCAGCCUGGGCUUUCCCCACUUAAUUACUCUGGGAACCACAGGACAAGGCUCAUCUUGUCUGAGCCUCAGUUUGAUCAUGCAGACGUGGACAUAACACAGCCCAGAGCUCGGAAGGUUGCUUAGUCAGUUGGAUGAGUAAAUGUAAAGAAUUUACCACAGUGCUGGGCACAUGGAAAAAGCUACAUUUUAUCACCACUAAUACCAACAAAAAUACAACCUUUCAAGAGCAAGGCAAAGAAUGUGAUUCUUUAUUAUUUAUUAUUACACCUUCACUCCAAAUUCUUAGAAAAUAUAUGUUUGAUCCACUCUGAAAAGGAAAAUAAAGCAGAAAGAGAUCAGGAAGGAGAAGUCAGAGGCAAGUCCUGGGAUAAAGGUCCUUAAUCUACAGAUCAAAGAACUAGCCCCUUUAUGCCAGAGAAAAAGGAAACCGCCCCACAUUCCACAGGAGAAAUAGAAGAUGGCUG
rnacentral:lncRNA from 1 species